rnacentral:rRNA from 1 species
AACGAACGCUGGCGGCAGGCUUAACACAUGCAAGUCGAGCGCCCCGCAAGGGGAGCGGCAGACGGGUGAGUAACGCAUGGGAAUCUACCUUUAGCUACGGAAUAACUCAGGGAAACUUGUGCUAAUACCGUAUGUGCCCUUCGGGGGAAAGAUUUAUCGGCAAAGGAUGAGCCCGCGUUGGAUUAGCUAGUUGGUGGGGUAAAGGCCCACCAAGGCGACGAUCCAUAGCUGGUCUGAGAGGAUGAUCAGCCACACUGGGACUGAGACACGGCCCAGACUCCUACGGGAGGCAGCAGUGGGGAAUAUUGGACAAUGGGCGCAAGCCUGAUCCAGCCAUGCCGCGUGAGUGAUGAAGGCCCUAGGGUUGUAAAGCUCUUUCACCGGUGAAGAUAAUGACGGUAACCGGAGAAGAAGCCCCGGCUAACUUCGUGCCAGCAGCCGCCGUAAAAC